AAACAUUAAUGAUGAUGAUAAGGGGAACCCAUUCUUCUUUUGACGCCUAAUGUAUAAAAUAAUCUGUUUUUCAACCAACAUGACAAAUAUAUCACCGUUGUUUUGUCCAAUUACAAAGUGAAAAUCCGAUCAAAAUCGGCUCACUUAUUUAUUAUCAUUGUUUUGAUUAAAUUUAUUUGUUUAGAUUUUUUUUAUCAUUAGGUUCUCAUCAUUUUCAUUUCUAUCCCACUGAAACUCAAACACAUUUGAAAUGCAUCCUUUAUGGCUACCUGGUCUCAUCACACACAUGAAGAACAAGAAAAAGCUAGCUAAGAGGAAGAGAGAUAGGGGGGUCAUGAAGGUUGUGUUCAAGAAUAAGAAGAAGAAGGAGACCAGGGACACUUCUUCAUUACCAUCUUCCAACACUUACUUGGGAGAUUAUAGCAACUCAAACAUAACGGCAACUCAUCACUGCAUAAGCCUCUCCUCUCGCACAUUUGAAAUGGAUACACAGAAUAAGAAGAGGAAGAUUACCAAGAACACUUCAUUACCACCUUCCAACACUUGUUCAUCGUCCACCUCUCCACCUGCUGCUGCAGGAUGUGAUUAUGAAGUCUUCUUGAGUUUCAGAGGUUCAGACACCCGUGAUAACUUCACUGACACCCUCUACCACGGCCUUGUGGACGCUGGAAUUCGCACUUUUCGAGACAACGAGGAGCUUCAUGCUGGAGAGAAGAUAGCUGAGCUUUUCAAGGCAAUACAGCACUCCAAGAUAUCCAUCCCCGUCUUUUCCAAAGCCUAUGCUUCAAGUAAGUGGUGCCUAAAAGAGAUCGCCAAGAUGGUCGAGUGUCGGAGGACUUUCGGGCAAUUGAUAUUACCCAUUUUCUUUGGUGUCAAAACGUCCGAUCUGAAAUACCAGACGGGGAGUUACGGAGAGGCCUUCCAGAAACACGAAGAGAACUGGAAGGAGGCAUUGAAGGAGGCUGAAAAUUUGAAGGAACAGGAAGUGAAGAAAGUUGCUGAUGUCGAUCCGUCCGAUGUGCGACACCAGAAGGGGAGUUACGAAGAGGCCUUCCAGAAACAGAAAGAGAUGAAAGAAAGCCUUGAGGGAUGGAAGAAAGCCUUGAGGGAGGUUGGAGAAUUGAAGGGAUGGAGUGUGAAGGAUAGUACUCCUCAAGGAGAACUGGUAAAGAAGGUUGUUUCAACGGUAUGGGGAGAGCUGAAAAGGAAUUACUCAUUGGUUGUAAAUGAUUGUUUAGUUGGAAUUGAUGAUCAUGUAGAAGAAAUGAUGAAAUUGUUGAGUGUUAAUUCCGAUGAUGUAAGGGUUGUGGGAAUCCAUGGCAUGGGAGGAAUCGGCAAGACCACUAUUGCCAAGUUCAUCUACAACCAACUCUCCCAACAUUUUCAACCCCAUUGCUGCUUCCUUGAAGAUGUUAGAGCAACAGCACAACAACAGAAUGGUCUUGUUCAUUUGCAAAAGCAACUUAUAUCUGACAUCUUAAAACUGAGAAGUCCUAACUUAAUUAGAAAUAAGGAUGAGGGAAUUAAUGCAAUCAGAGAUAGAUUUUCUGGGAAGAAAGUUCUUGUUGUCGUUGAUGAUGCCGAUCACAGAGAUCAGCUUCAUGCACUUGCAUUUGUGGGAAAGUGUGAUUGGUUUGGUUUGGGAAGUAGGAUAAUUGUUACAACUAGAAACAAAGAGAUCCUAAAUCUACCUGAGGUAGAUUGUAGAACUUAUGAACCAAAGGAAUUGGAUUCUGCUCGAUCUCUUCUACUUUUCAGCAGGCAUGCUUUUAGAAAGGACCAUCCCCCAGAAGGCUAUGUUAAUCUCUCUAAAGAUGUUGUGUCCACUACUGAAGGGUUGCCUUUGGCUCUUGAGAUUAUUGGUUCUUUUUUAUCUGGCAAGGGAAAAGAGGUAUGGGAAGGUACAUUAAAGAAGUUGGAAGUAAUACCGAAUAAAGACGUGCAGGACAAGCUGAAAAUAAGUUACACUGCAUUAGAAUAUGAUCAACAACUUAUAUUUCUCGAUAUUGCAUGUUUCUUAAUUGGAGUGGAUAGAAGAAUUGCUUUCCACAUGUGGGAUGACUGCAAAUUUUAUCCAGAAAAUGGGAUUGAAGUUCUUAUUAACAUGUCCUUGGUAAAAAUUGGAGAUAAUAAUGAGCUAAGGAUGCAUGACCAGCUUAGAGACCUUGGUAGAGAUAUUGUUCGUCAAGAAAAUUUUGAAGAGCCGGAGAAGCGUAGUAGGGUGUGGUUUCAUGAGGAAGCCAUCGACGUCUUGGAGAGGCAUACAGGAACAACAAAGGUUAAAGCUAUCUGUCUUAACUUAAAAUCAGAGUCACAGGUUGAAGCUCUGUGUCUUACAAAUGAAGAAUUUGCAAACCUAUCUAAUCUAAGGUUCCUUCAAAUGGACUUCGCAAAGCUGGAUGGAGAUUUUAAGGGUCUUCUUUUAAAUUUGAGAUGGCUUUGCUGGAAAGGAUGCCCUGAAAUCUUUAGCCCAACCAAUUUUCAUCUAAAGAAUCUGGUCAUUCUUGAUUUAUCACAGAGCAAGGUCACAGAAGACUGGGAGGGUUGGAAUUAUAUCAAGAUUGCAAAAAAGUUGAAAGUUCUAAAUCUCACAGGUUGCAUAAACAUGGUUAGGACUCCUGACUUCUCUUCAUUUGCAACUUUAGAAAGAUUGAUUCUUGAAGACUGUAAGAGUUUGGUUGAUAUUCACCCAUCAAUUGGGCAUCUCAAGAGUCUAGUUUUCUUAAAUUUGAAGAAUUGUGCUAAACUCAGCAGGUUGCCUCUGGAAUUUGAUAAAGUGGAAGCUUUAACAGAGCUCCUAAUCGAUGCUACUUCAAUGGAAGAAGUACCUAUUGGUAGAGGUGUUAUGAAGAAGCUUGAAACUCUCAGUGCCACUCGUAGUUAUUCAUUGACUCAAAUUUCGACCUCAAUCGGUCACCUAACAUCUUUGUUGGACCUUAGAUUUGGUCGUUCAUUUGGUAUCACUAAACUACCAGACUCGAUUGGUUCGCUAGUGAAAUUGCGACGCUUGUCACUAUGGGAAUGCAAAUUAAAAGAGCUUCCAGACUCCAUUGGGAAAUUAGAAUCAUUAAUUGAGCUGGACUUGUCAAAUACAUGCAUUACAGAAUUGCCAGAUACUAUUGGCAACCUAAAUCUUUUGAGAAUUCUUAAGAUAGAAUCUUGUUUGAUAGUGAAGUUACCUAGUACCAUCGGAAUGUUACUGAAACUUGAAGAGUUACAUGCCUCGUAUUGUUCCAGUUUGGAAGGCGAAAUUCCCAGUAAUUUUGGGGGACUAUCCUCUCUGAGAAACUUAAGAUUAAAUUCAACACAUAUCUGUGGUCUACCAACAAGCAUUUGUGGGCUUUCUCACCUCCAAACCCUUGAUUUACGGUAUUGCAAAAAUCUUGAGUUUGUCCCAGACCUUCCCUCUAGUCUAGUGAGUCUAAAAGUCUCUUGCAGUUCAAUGGAGACAUUUCUAAACCUUCCUAGCCUGGUGAACCUAAAGGAGUUGGAAAUUAUUAAAUGCUAUAAGCUGUUGAAAAUUUCUGAAGGUAUUGGUGCCCUUUCUAGGCUUACUUUUCUCAAUGUAUAUUAUUGUGAACAACUUCAAUGCCUUCCAGCUCUUCCCUCAAGUCUUACAUCUCUCAAUGUAGAUAAUUGUGAACAACUUCAAUGCCUUCCAACUCUUCCCUCAAGUCUAAACUCACUAUAUGUUAGAGAUUGUAAGUCAAUGAAGAGGUUGCCAGUUCUGUCAAAUUUGAAAAACUUAUCAAGUCUAAAAGUUUUAGAGUGUUCAGAAUUAAGGAAGAUACCUUGCCUUGGAAGAUUAAAACUCCUACUAGAAUUAUAUUUAGAUGGGUGUGAAUCACUAGAAAAAUUACCUGAUCUUUCCAACUUAAAGAAGGUAAGGAAUUUAAGUAUUGCAGAUUGCAGGAAUCUGAAUGAAAUUACGGGCCUUGAUAGAUUAGAAUCCUUGGAAGUUUUGACUAUGAGUAGUUGCACAUCCUUGGAAAGAUUGCCUGAUCUAUCCAAAUUGGAAAAGCUGGAACGAUUAAAUCUCCAUCAUUGCGAGAAGAUACAUGAGAUUGAGGGUCUUGAGGAUUUGAAAUCCUUGAAGAAGCUGGAUUUGUCACGGUGCACAGCCUUGGAGAAGGCACCUGAUCUGUCAAGAAUAACAAAUUUAGAGGAAUUGAAACUUUGGGAGUGUGAUAAACUUGGUGAGAUUUGUGGACUGGAGGAACUCAAACUCCUAACAGAGUUGGACUUGUCAUCCUGCACGGCCUUGGAGAGGAUACCUGAUUUGUCCAAACUAACAAAGUUAAGUUCAUUACGUCUUUGUAACUGUGAGAAACUUUCUGAGAUUUGGGGACUUGAGGAACUGAAACUCCUAGAAUUGUUGGACUUGUCAUCCUGCACGGGCUUGGAGAGGACACCUGGUCUGUCGAGACUAACAAAUUUAAAGGCAUUGAGACUUUGUAAGUGUGAGAAACUUGUUGAGACCUUGAGACUUGAAGAACUGAAACUCCUAAGAGAGUUAGACUUGUCAUCCUGCACUGCCUUGGAGAGGACACCUGAUCUGUCCAGACUAACAAAUUUAGAGCUAUUGUGCCUUCGUAACUGUGAGAAACUUGGUGAGAUUUGGGGACUUGAGAAACUUGGUGAGAUUUGGGGACUUGAACGGCCAAGAUUCUUGGACAUUUCUGGAUGCAAGUCACUAGGAAAAUUACCAGACCUUCCAAACUUAUAUCUUGUACGUUAAUUAAGUGUGGAGAGCACGCAAGUCACUAAGAAAAUUGCAGGAUGUCAUGGGUAUGGUCACUCUCUUUCUCUCCUCCCUAUCAUUUCACCGUUCUCAAGAACUCUUCCACUUCGAGGUGAUUUCGAGACUAUGGCUCAGUUUGAAGCGCGAAUGGAGUCAUGGAGACAUUGCUCUAUAAUUCUUGUGGAUUUUUGGGCUCGCAAUUGAAGCUCCAAAUUCACACAUGCAUGUCAAAAGAAUGAAUGAAUGAUCAAUUUCAUAAUCUCUUCAACUUCGAGAGGCCAUUAAUCUGUUAGGGCUCCAUUUCAUGCAUUCAAUCAAUCUCUGAACAUAGGGAGACCAUCUUCGCUCGAGGGAACAGGUGAGAGACGGUUCCUACCACUCAUAUUAAAGCUGAAUUUUUUUCCACCUAGGUAUUUUGCUUGCCCUAUCAAAUGCUAAUGUGCAGAAAAUUUGAUAUUUAAGAUGCUUGAAUAUUUUUAUAUUAUAAUGGUUAUAUAUUCUACUCAAUUUUAGAUAUAUAUUAAUAAUGGUUAGAUAUAUACCCAACCAGUCCUCAAUUCUGGUUUGAGAGCUGGGAAGGACCAAUGCUUCAAUUUCUCCUUCUAUGUAAAAAAAAGAGACACACACACUAUGAUAAAGGUCUGAUGUCAUCGUAUAGACUUUUAAUAUGGUAUGGAGGGAGUAGGAGAUUCUGGUACAACUUAAUUAAAUCAUAUUGUUUGAACCA